rnacentral:sRNA from 1 species
GAGGAGUACAGGGUGAUCCAGGAUUAAA